AGCAAAAAACUGGGUGAAGGAGCUGCAGAGACAAGCCAAUCCCAACAUAGUGAUCGCUUUGGCUGGAAACAAAGCAGACAUUGCAAACAAGAGAGCCGUAGAGCUGCAGGAGGCGCAAGCAUAUGCUGAUGACAACAGUCUACUGUUCAUGGAGACCUCAGCCAAGACAGCCAUGAAUGUCAAUGAAAUUUUCAUGGCUAUUG